rnacentral:rRNA from 1 species
AUCAAGUUGGCGGCCGGUUUAGCUCAUGUUGCGUGGCACAAUUGCGGGUUAACGCUCGAGUAGUGCUUUAUUCACUUGCUUAAGGAUGGAUGGCUAGGUGUUUGUGUUCGGCGCGUAUUGCGAAAAGUAUACCGAGAAAGAAAAUAGCUACCCGGAGAACUGAAACAUCUAAGUACCCGGUGUAUACUAAAUUAGGGCCCGGAAGUAGCGGCGAGCGAACUUGGGAAAGGCUAUAGAUCGGUUGGGGCUGAUAACAGUUAUUCAAUACCGAGCCAGUGGAGGUGACAGCCCUUGGUUAACGAAAAAAAGUAGGCCUUUUUGGCUGAAAAAAGGGGUACCGCCCUCUAGUUAGACACGCAAAUAUCCGAUAGUGAACCAGUACCGUGAGGGAAAGCUGAAAGAAAACCCCUAUCUGGGGAGUGAAAUAGGGCUAAAAUCCUUAAGUCUUCAAUCAAGGUGGUGUACCUUUUGCAUAAUGGGCUAACAAGUUAACGUGUGCGGCGAGCGUAACGCAAGGUACGCGUAGCGAAAGCGAGUUCGAUAAGAGCGUUUAGUCUCAUGCGUUAAACCCGAAACCGGGUGAUCUAUCCGCAGGCAGGCUAAAGGGGGUCUGAAGGGCCGAACCCUAGGAUGUGGCAAAAUCCAGGGAAGACCUGCGGCUAGGGGUGAAAGGCUAAUCAAACUCGGAAAUAGCUGGUUUUCUGCGAAAUCUGUUUUAGCAGAGCGUUGCAAUUUUAUGGGGGUAGGGCUCUGGGUUCUCGAUGGGGGCGUUGGCUUUACUGACAGUGCUUAAACUACGAAUACCUGUGCAGCAGACAGGCCGCGGGUGAUAAGAUCCGUGGCCAAGAGGGAAACAGCCCAGACCGUAGGAUAAGGUUCUUAAUGGCGGCUAAGUUAAAGGCGGCUUCGGCGAAAACAACCCUAGCGGUGGGCUUAGAAGCAGCCAUCCGUUAAAGAAAUCGUUAAAGAUUAUGGGACUAGCCACGUGUUGCCAAAAAUUAACGGAGAUAGAGCUGUCAACCGAAGCCACGGCUGCGUUUUUAACGCGGGGUAGCAGAAUGCUCAUGAUUGGUUGAAGCUGGCGCGAAAGCGUGGUUUUUGUGACAAGAGUGGACGAUUGUGAGGUAACAAUGUUAGCAUGAGUAACUAAAAUCUUCUGAGAACGGAGAUCACCGAAAGCCCAAGGUUUGCUGCAAACGGACAUUCCUGGCAGCGUGAAUCGGUUCCUAAGAGACAACCCGUACGGGUUGCUCGAUGGCGCGCCCUAUUCGAAAACGAUAACGGCUUGGAAAUAAUGCUGACCGUACCAAACCAACGCAGGUGGGCAGAUCUAGUACAUCAAGGUGAUCGAGAUAACGGCACUUAAGGAACUCGGCAAAUUGACCCUGUAACUUCGGGAUGAGGGGGGCCCCGGUAACGCGGGGCGUUUAAAACAAAGAAGGAGCAACUGUUUAUUAAAAACACAGGACCCUGCGAAAUGGCAACAUGACGUAUAGGGUCUGACGCCUGCCCGGUGCCAUUGGGCGAAAGCGAAGCGUGUUUGCGCCUAGUAUAAGCCUCGGUAAACGGCGGCUGUAACUCUGACGGUCCUAAGGUAGCGAAAUUCCUUGGCGGGUAAGUUCCGUCCUGCACGAAUGGCGUAAUGACUUCUUCACUGUCUCAAGUGCCGGCUCGGUGAAAUUGAAUUCCUCGUGAAGAUGCGGGGAUGUCGCGGCCGGACGGAAAGACCCUGUGCACCUUUACUAUAACCUUGCGUUGCCCGGAUUGCGGGCUUGUUCAGCAUAGGCGGGAGCUUGUCUUUAAGAAGCGUUAGUGAGAUACCGUCCUUGUCCUUUAUUCGGGCCCCUUGCAUGGUUGGUAGUUUGGCUGGGGUGGCCGCCUCCUAAAGGGUAACGGGGGCGCGCAAUGGUGAGCUCGAUCCGAUAUUCGGAGUAAGAGCGCAAUGGUAAAAGCUCGCCUGACUGAAAGACUGACAGGUCGAUCAGGGACGCAAGUCGGCCAUAGUGACCCGACGAUGCUGCGCGGAAAGGUCGUCGAUCAACGGAUAAAAGGUACGCCAGGGAUAACAGGCUAAUAACCCCUAAGAGACCAAAUCGCCGGGGUUGUUUGGCACCUCGAUGUCGGCUCAUCGCAUCCUGGAGCUGUAGGCGGUUCCAAGGGUUCGGCUGUUCGCCGAUUAAAGCGGUACGUGAGCUGGGUUUAGAACGUUGUGAAACAGUUUGGUCCCUAUCUACCGCGACGUGAAUUGCGGGUGGGCGUCCUAGUACGGGAGGAUCGGGCGCCACCGGCCAAUGGUGACCGGUUGUUUUGGAUGUAUCCUUAGCACCGCCGGGCAGCUACGCCGGUGGGGAUAACCGCUGAAAGCAUAUAAGCGGGAAGCCUCCCCCAAAAGAUUCUAGGGUUGUAGCAGAUGACUACAUAGGCGAGAUCGUUUUAGUUUGGAAAAAUGUGCGGUCCGUACUAAGAUUCCCAGAAUACACGCAC